rnacentral:tRNA from 1 species
CAUUAAGAAGCUAUGCAACAGCGCUAGCCUUUUAAGCUAGAGAAAGAGGAGAAUUCCUCCUUAAUGG